rfam:Ornithorhynchus anatinus chromosome 4, whole genome shotgun sequence.
AGCAGCGUGGCUCGGUAGAAAGAGCCUGGACUUGGGAGUCAGAGGUCAUGGGUUCGAAUCCCAGCUCUGCCG